UGUCUGAUGGCAGGUGGUAUAACUGGGAUCGUGAAAACUAUGCUUACCGAUAUCAUUCGCUUGUGCAUUACAGGAGGUUGUUGGAUGAUUUGCAAGAAGGACAUGCUUACGACAUUGAACGCAUUGAGUCAGACGUGAUUUCUUUAGACAUCCGUCAUCAUUCGAUUAUUUGGAGUGCCACGGUGCGCUUAUAUUUUUCGAAUGCGUCGAGUGGCAUGCAUUCGAUAAAGUUAGGAGGUAAUUUAGUUUGAUCUAGGGCAUUCAUAAUCAAGAGCGGUAUCUAGGUGCAUCACACGGCGAAGUAUUAACUGGACCCAAGAAGCAAGAUUGGGCCGACACCUAUUCUUUUUGGGUGAUGCAGUGGACCAAUCGGUAUAGUCACGUUCUUGCUGAUGACUUUGUGCCUUUACAUUAUCCUUUGAAAAUUUACUUACAUUGGUACCGAAGAUAUUUGAGAAUACACAUAUUCUCUUAGAUAUUUAAGAA